UACGUAGGUGGCGAGCGUUGUCCGGAAUUACUGGGCGUAAAGGGCGCGUAGGCGGUUGGAUAAGUCAGCUGUGAAAACCACGGGCUUAACUCGUGGCCUGCAGUUGAGACUGUCUGGCUUGAGUGUGGGAGAGGAGAGUGGAAUUCCUGGUGUAGCGGUGAAAUGCGUAGAUAUCAGGAGGAACACCGGUGGCGAAGGCGGCUCUCUGGACCACAACUGACGCUGAGGCGCGAAAGCUAGGGGAGCAAACAGG
rnacentral:rRNA from 1 species